CCUACGGGAGGCAGCAGUGAGGAAUAUUGGUCAAUGGGCGCGAGUCUGAACCAGCCAAGUAGCGUGAAGGAUGACUGCCCUACGGGUUGUAAACUUCUUUUAUAAAGGAAUAAAGUGCGGCACGUGUGCCUUUUUGUAUGUCCUUUAUCAAUAAGGAUCGGCUAAUUCCGGGCCAGCAGCCGCGGUAAUCCGGAGGGUCCGGGUGUUAUUCGGAUAUAUUGGGUUUAAAGGGGACGUAGUUGGGUUGUGAAGGCUGAUUUGAAAAUUUGCGGCACAAACGUGAAGUUGCGUUUGAUACUGGCAGGCUUGAGUGCAGUUGAGGGAGGCGGAAUUCGUAGUGUAGCGGUGAAAUGCUUAGAUAUUACGAAGAACUCCGAUUGCGAAGGCAGCUUACUAAACUGCAACUGACAUUGAUGCUCGAAAGUGUGGGUAGCAAACAGGAUUAGAUACCCGUGUAGUC
rnacentral:rRNA from 1 species